GACGAACGCUGGCGGCGUGCUUAACACAUGCAAGUCGAACGGAAAGGCCCUGCUUUUGUGGGGUGCUCGAGUGGCGAACGGGUGAGUAACACGUGAGUAACCUGCCCUUGACUUUGGGAUAACUUCAGGAAACUGGGGCUAAUACCGGAUAGGAGCUCCUGCUGCAUGGUGGGGGUUGGAAAGUUUCGGCGGUUGGGGAUGGACUCGCGGCUUAUCAGCUUGUUGGUGGGGUAGUGGCGUACCAAGGCUUUGACGGGUAGCCGGCCUGAGAGGGUGACCGGCCACAUUGGGACUGAGAUACGGCCCAGACUGCUACGGGCGGCAGCAGUGGGGAAUAUUGCACAAUGGGCGGAAGCCUGAUGCAGCAACGCCGCGUGCGGGAUGACGGCCUUCGGGUUGUAAACCGCUUUCGCCUGUGACGAAGCGUGAGUGACGGUAAUGGGUAAAGAAGCACCGGCUAACUACGUG
rnacentral:rRNA from 1 species